UAACAAGGAUUCCCCUAGUAACUGCGAGUGAACCGGGAAGAGCUCAAAUUUAAAAUCUGGCGGUUUUGCCGUCCGAGUUGUAAUCUGGAGAAGCGUUUUCCGCGUCGGACCGUGUACAAGUCUCUUGGAAUAGAGCGUCAUACAGGGUGAGAAUCCCGUCCAUGACACGGACUCCCGAUGCUUUGUGAUACGCUCUCAAAGAGUCGAGUUGUUUGGGAAUGCAGCUCAAAAUGGGUGGUAAAUUCCAUCUAAAGCUAAAUAUUGGCGAGAGACCGAUAGCGAACAAGUACCGUGAGGGAAAGAUGAAAAGCACUUUGGAAAGAGAGUUAAACAGUACGUGAAAUUGUUGAAAGGGAAACGCUUGAAGUCAGUCGCGUCGUACGGAGCUCAGCCUUGCUUCUGCUUGGUGUAUUCUCCGUGUCGACGGGUCAACAUCAAUUUUGACCGGUGGAAAAGGGCCUAGGGAAUGUAGCGUUGUUUCGGCGACGUGUUAUAGCCUUAGGUCGUAUGCAUCGGUCGGGAUUGAGGACUGCAGCACGCCCUUGUGGCCGGGGGUUCGCCCUACGUUUGUGCUUAGGAUGUUGGCAAAAUGGCUUUAAGCGACCCGUCUUGAAACACGGACCAAGGAGUCUAACAUGCCUGCGAGUGUUCGGGUGGAAAACCCUUGCGCGUAAUGAAAGUGAAAGUUGGGAUCCUUCGUAAGGGGGUGCACCGACGCCCGGCCCUGACGUUCUCUGACGGUGCUGCGGUAGAGCAUGUAUGUUGGGACCCGAAAGAUGGUGAACUAUGCCUGAAUAGGGUGAAGCCAGAGGAAACUCUGGUGGAGGCUCGUAGCGAUUCUGACGUGCAAAUCGAUCGUCAAAUUUGGG
rnacentral:rRNA from 1 species